GACGAACGCUGGCGGCGUGCCUAAUACAUGCAAGUCGAACGAGCUCUCCCAAAAUUGAUUUUAUGCUUGCAUAAAUGAUUUUUUGGAUUCGGAGCGAGUGGCGAACUGGUGAGUAACACGUGGGUAACCUGCCCUUAAGUGGGGGAUAACAUUUGGAAACAAAUGCUAAUACAGCAUAUGAAUUAAAACCGCAUGGUUUUAAUUUGAAAGAUGGCUCUGCUAUCACUUUUGGAUGGACACGCGCCGUAUUAGCUAGUUGGUGAGAUAAAAGCUCACCAAGGCGAUGAUACGUAGCCGACCUGAGAGGGUAAUCGGCCACAUUGGGACUGAGACACGGCCCAGACUCCUACGGGAGGCAGCAGUAGGGAAUCUUCCACAAUGGACGAAAGUCUGAUGGAGCAACGCCGCGUGAGUGAUGAAGGGUUUCGGCUCGUAAAACUCUGUUGUUAAAGAAGAACAAGUGUAAGAGUAACUGUUUACGCUUUGACGGUAUUUAACCAGAAAGCCACGGCUAACUACGUGCCAGCCGCCGCCGUAA
rnacentral:rRNA from 1 species